GUGGGGAAUCUUGCGCAAUGGGCGAAAGCCUGACGCAGCGACGCCGCGUGGGGGAUGAAGCCCUUCGGGGUGUAAACCCCUUUCGACCCGGACGAAAACCCGCAAGGGUCUGACGGUACGGGUAGAAGAAGCCCCGGCUAACUACGUGCCAGCAGCCGCGGUAAGACGUAGGGGGCCAGCGUUGCUCGGAAUUACUGGGCGUAAAGGGUCCGUAGGCGGUGCGGCAAGUCGGAAGUGAAAUCUCUGGGCUUAACUCAGAGGCUGCUUCCGAAACUGCCGUGCUCGAGUGUGGGAGAGGCGAGUGGAAUUGCAGGUGUAGCGGUGAAAUGCGUAGAUAUCUGCAGGAACACCAGAGGCGAAGGCGGCUCGCUGGACCACAACUGACGCUGAGGGACGAAAGCUAGGGGAGCAAACAGGAUUAGAUACCCCAGUAGUCC
rnacentral:rRNA from 1 species